rnacentral:rRNA from 1 species
UACGAAGGGGGCUAGCGUUGUUCGGAAUCACUGGGCGUAAAGCGCACGUAGGCGGAUUGUUAAGUCGGGGGUGAAAUCCUGAGGCUCAACCUCAGAACUGCCUCCGAUACUGGCAAUCUCGAGUUCGGAAGAGGUUGGUGGAACAGCUAGUGUAGAGGUGAAAUUCGUAGAUAUUAGCUAGAACACCAGUGGCGAAGGCGGCCAACUGGUCCGACACUGACGCUGAGGUGCGGAAAGCGUGGGGAGCAAACAGG